rnacentral:tRNA from 1 species
UCCCUGGUGGUUUAAUAGGUUAAGGAUCCAGCAUUAUCACUGUUGUAGCUCAGGUUGCUGCUGUGGUGCAGGUUCAAUCCCUGACCUGGGAA